rnacentral:rRNA from 1 species
UCAACUCCUUCUCAACUUACACAUGCAAGUAUCAGCACACCCGUGAGAACGCCCUUUUUCCCCUUUAUAGGACAAGGAGCCGGUAUCAGGCACAGAUUACUCUAGCCCACAACACCUAGCUUUGCCACACCCUCAAGGGUACUCAGCAGUGAUUAACAUUGUUUAUAAGCGUCAGCUCGACUCAGUUAGAGAACUAAGAGCCGGCCAAUACGGUGCCAGCCGCCGCGGCUACACCGCUAGGCUCAAGUUGAUAUUAUUCGGCGUUAAGCGUGUUUAAAGUAUACAUAAGACUAGAACUGAACCUAAACCAAGCUGUGACACGCUUGUUUUCAAGAAAAACAUAAACGAAAGUUAUUCUAGCCAGACCACUUGAACCCACGACAGCUAGGGCACAAACUGGGAUUAGGUACCCCACUAUGCCUAGCCGUAAAAUAUUCAAUUACACCUUUAACCGCCUGGGGAUUACGAGCCCAAGCUUAAAACCCAAAGGACUUGACGGUGUCCCACCCACCUAGAGGAGCCUGUUGAUUUUCCAUAAAUAUGUCAGGUCAAGGUGCAGCCAACGAAGUGGUAAGCAAUGGGCUACAAUUUCUACAACUAGAACACAACGAAAGACUACAUGCAACCAAGUCAUGAAGGCGGAUUUAGAAGUAAAAAGAAAAUAGAGAGUUCUUUUUAAUUAGGCGCUGGGACGUGUACACACCGCCCGUCACCCUCUUCAAAUGCUUUUAUUCAGUAUUUAACAAUUUUCUGCACUUCAGAAGAGGUAAGUCGUAACACGGUAAGUGUACUGGAAAGUGCACUUGGAUAAACAAAAUGUAGCUUAACUAAAGCAUCUCGCUUACACCGAGAAAAUCUCUGUGAGACUCAGAUCAUUUUGAGCUAAAAACCUAGCUUGAACACCUUGUAAUGUUUACCCAUUAAUUUUA